rnacentral:rRNA from 1 species
GACAGAGGUGCCGAGCGUUAGGCGGAAUCACUGGGCUUAAAGCGUGUGUAGGCGGGCGGGCAAGUACCUUGUGAAAUCCCACGGCUCAACCGUGGAACGGCUGGGUAUACUGCCUGUCUUGAGCCAACUAGGGGCGAGCGGGACAGACGGUGGAGCGGUGAAAUGCGUAGAUAUCGUCUGGAACGCCAAAGGUGAAAACAGCUCGCUGGGGUUGUGCUGACGCUGAGACACGAAAGCCAGGGGAGCGAACGGG